ensembl:snRNA U6 U6 spliceosomal RNA
AUGCUCACUUCAGCAGGACAUAUACUAAAACUGGAAUAAUAUUGAGAAGAUUAGCAUGCCCCUAUACAAGGAUGGCAGGCAAAUUCAUGAAGUGCUCCAUGUUUUU